rnacentral:rRNA from 1 species
UAAACGAUGUCGACUUGGAGGCUGUUCCCUGAGGAGUGGCUUCCGGAGCUAACGCGUUAAGUCGACGCUGGGGAGUACGGCCGCAAGGUUAAAACUCAAAUGAAUUGACGGGGGCCCGCACAAGCGGUGGAGCAUGUGGUUUAAUUCGAUGCAACGCGAAGAACCUUACCUACUCUUGACAUCCAGAGAAUUUGGCAGAGAUGCCUUAGUGCCUUCGGGAACUCUGAGACAGGUGCUGCAUGGCUGUCGUCAGCUCGUGUUGCGAAAUGUUGGGUUAAGUCCCGCAACGAGCGCAACCCUUAUCCUUUGUUGCCAGCACGUAAUGGUGGGAACUCAAAGGAGACUGCCGGUGAUAAACCGGAGGAAGGUGGGGAUGACGUCAAGUCAUCAUGGCCCUUACGAGUAGGGCUACACACGUGCUACAAUGGCGCAUACAAAGAGAAGCGACCUCGCGAGAGCAAGCGGACCUCAUAAAGUGCGUCGUAGUCCGGAUUGGAGUCUGCAACUCGACUCCAUGAAGUCGGAAUCGCUAGUAAUCGUAAAUCAGAAUGUUACGGUGAAUACGUUCCCGGGCCUUGUACACACCGCCCGUCACACCAUGGGAGUGGGUUGCAAAAGAAGUAGAUAGCUUAACCUUCGGGAGGGCGUUUACCACUUUGUGAUUCAUGACUGGGGUGAAGUCGUAACAAGGUAACCA